GAAAGAAGGUCCGGAGGGAGAGGAAGUCUGGACGAUUUUGAGAGAUUCAUGGUGCUUAUUUGCUGACCAAGGCACACUCUCUGCAUCAGGACUGGGAGACCAAGGCUCUAAGAGCUCAAAUAUCCAAGAUGUCCCUGUUGUCCACUCUGCUGUCUCCUGUGAGCCCUUGACCCAGAGCAGC